rnacentral:rRNA from 1 species
GAUCCUGGCUUAGGAUGAACGCUAGCUACAGGCUUAACACAUGCAAGUCGAGGGGCAGCAUGGUCUUAGCUUGCUAAGGCUGAUGGCGACCGGCGCACGGGUGAGUAACACGUAUCCAACCUGCCGUCUACUCUUGGCCAGCCUUCUGAAAGGAAGAUUAAUCCAGGAUGGGGUCAUGAGUUCACAUGUCCGCAUGAUUAAAGGUAUUUUCCGGUAGACGAUGGGGAUGCGUU